AGCUAAUGCACAUGGCGGUUUUCCUCCCAGUGCCGCUGCACUAGCUGUUCCCCUCUGGAGGUUGAAUAGACCUUCACACUUAAAAGGGCCUCGGACACGUUCCGGAGGCCCUCUUUU
rnacentral:sRNA from 1 species